UUUUAAUAAAUUGGAUAAGAGUUUGAGUUUGAGAGUUUUGUUUGUAUUCAGUAAUUUUGGGAACCAUACAAUAUAGGAAACGAAUUUAUCAACAGAAAAUAAAUGGAGAGAGGACAAAGGGAAGAAGGGGACGAUUAGCAAUAGCAGUGUAUAUGGUUAUUGUUGUUGUUGUUGCUGUUUCAAGUGAAGGUGAAUUAUGCGGUGAGCGUUGUAGACAGCAUUGUUGUUGUUGAUCAGAAUCGAAUCCAGAUGUCAUAUUGUUGGCACAGUUUGGCGAGCAAAGCUCUUGUUCCAAUUUCACAAUCCCAACCCUUCUUACCACUGUUUCCCUCUUCACAAUUACAAUUACACUCUAAUAAUGGUAUCGGUAACAACAGGUUUUCUUCUGCUUCGUGUUCACGGCUUCAGGAAAUGUCCGUCGUCGAUCCAUCCUCACUGCAUCAGCAUCAACAGUGCACGAGCAACUACUAUCCUGUUGUCAGGGAUGAUCAGCAAGAUCAUGAACAUGAUCAUGAUGAUGAUGAAGAAGAAGUAGGAAUUUCUAAAAUACAAGUGCCCAGGCAGAAACACAUCCCUGUUUCCAAGUCCCAACUUCUGGACGCCAUCCUCUCCAUCAUUUUUCACCAACGCCAUGACGAUGCGCAUCACUUUCGCCUUCUCACCUCAUGCUUAGACUCUAUACUUCAUGCUGAGCACAAAAGUAUCUUAGAGGAGAUGCGUUCCGAUUAUCACCUUUCCAAUUCACAAGUCCUGCCGAAUGGAAAGGAUUCAGACUUGUUUAGCAAUGGCAUCCUUGGAAUUGAGGACGGCAAGCUCUAUGAGGAAAUGCAUCAAGAUCAACUGGAAAAGCCUAUGCUUUCCUACCGUGGUCUGGACCUCGCCUCCCUUUUACAAUCUCUGGACAUAGCUUCAAAGAAAGGUUAUGAUAGGGGGUCCAGAGUUACCAUUGCCACUCGUUUCCAACAUGCUUUCAUGCAGCUUCUUUCUGAUGCACAAUUUGAAGAACUUUCAGCUAGGGAUCUGAUGUUAACAUCUGCAUUGAACACAGACUAUCUACUUACCUUGCCGGUAUAUGUUGAUUGGAAGAGAGCAUAUGAGUCUAAUGCCAUAAUAUUUAGGCGUGGUUAUGCAACUGAGAAGCAGAAGGGCCUAUUAAUUGUUGAAAAAUUGGAUUACUUACAGUCUAAGCUUCUGCGAAGAAUCUUUUUUGUUAUAUCAAAACCACUAACAAAACUUGGCACCUGGAUAAGUGAGCUUUACAAAAAUGGCAGUCAGAAACAUGAAGUACAAAACUGGACAGAAAGAUUGAGGCUCUGGCUAAAGGAACUGUCAGUAUUUCAGAAAUCACUACUUUAUAAAGACCCUGCUUCAAAUGAGCAAAUAGGUGUAAACCAAGUAGCAAAUGCAGAACUCCCUAUUUGGUUGGCAGCUCAGAGGGCAGUAGCUCGAUAUGAAGGGAUUUUGUCAGCAGUUGGUCCCCGUGGAAGGCUCUUGAGGAGAUUGCUUUCCUGGAUAGGACUUAUUCCCCCUACACCAGAAACACCUUUUGAGGUUCAUAAUGAUAAUAGUGCUCCUGAACCUUACCUAAGGCCUACUUUUUUAUCAAGGAUAUCACUAAGUGAUAUAUGGAGACCAGCAACAAGGAAAUACUGCAGAAAUGAUCCCUGGAAAAUGUUGAAAACUUCCAUUUCCAUACUUUUCUCACAGUCAGUCCUGCAGGAGCCAGCAUUUGAAGAGUUAAUUCUACUAUAUACCAAGGAGGUUGGAGAUACAAAUGCUAAAGAUAAAGCUGAUGUUCCAUCAUUGCAAUUAAAGAUCUAUGAGAGAAUUCCUAUCCCAGAUUUACCGGUAAUUUUUCCUCAUAAAAAGCUAUCAUUCCGUAUCAUAGACACAGUGCGCUUGGAUGUUGCCACAAUUUUGGGUCUUCUGGCAUACUUCAUAAACUACAAAUUUGAGAAUGUCUUAUCUUCCCCAGAUUAUUAUGCUGGAAGAAUAUGGAAGCAUAGUUCUUUCUUCCACAAUCUGUGAAAGGAAAAUGUCUGAACUGCCAAGAAUGUUAUAUUGCAGCUAUUAGUCAACAAGACACUUUAUGAAAAAACAUUGGCAAGCGGCUUUGGCUCAGUUCAUUUUCUUCUAGAUGCUUCUGAACAGCAGCAAGUGAGAAAAUUCCUUUGUUAUGCUUUCCAUGCACUCUGGAUAACUUUACUCACAUUUUGUGGGAUAAACAACCAAUACUUCUGAAUUUGUCAUUCAAUUAGGUGGUGCUCAAUUUUUUUGGUUUUCAUAAAAUUAUUCAAUGGUUUUCAAUUAUUUUGUUUGAUGAGUUAGAGGUGUAAUCUAUUUCCAAACUAUUGAAUCAUGCAAAUGUUUCUUGUCAAUUUUGGUCUGGAAAAUAUUUUGGAAUCAUGUAAUCUAACUGGUUAGAUGAUGAAUUUGCUAAACUGAAGAUCAGAUCAUGAACCAGUUUUGGGUGAUUUACGUUAUGAAAUCUGAUGCCCGAGUAGUGGCCACAGUCAUAGUGGUAGAUAAGCUUAUACUCCAUACAUCUUUCGUAAAAGAGGGGACGGCUCUGCAAAAAUAGGGUUUCUUCUUUACAACCUCAUUAUUAUGUAUUCUGACCUUCAUUAACUUCUGUCUCCCUAAACGUUGCAUAUGCAGUACAAAGAAGCUAUUUUGGCUUAUGCUGUCCUACUCAAAGCAGAAAAGGGUCAGGUUAUUUCUCGACAAAGUGUCGGAGAGAAAUGUGAGAGAUUCAUGUAUGAAGUGUUUAAAGUAAAGGUUGAAAUGCCAAUUGACAAGGCACUCAAAACAUUAUUAAGACUGGGCCUUGCAACUGAAACUUGUAUUGAUGGAAGGCAUGGAUUGCUGGCUAUACCUUGUCGCGAGGCCUAUGAGGCCCUUAAAGAACGAUGGAAUAGUUUGCUCAUUUAAAAUGUGCAAUAUGCACUUUCCAUUGAGUUACCGAUAAAUACAUUGUAGAUAGUAAGUUUAUCAACCCUUCAUGGCAUCCGGUAAUAGUUUUGUAGAUAGAUGAGACUAGGCAAUUGCAUUAUUCAUGCUACCCUGUAAUUUUACAAAACAGUAUAUAUUUUUCGUCACCAGUUCCAUAAAUGAGCACAAAGCUUUUAUUGCAGCAGC